GAGGCGAUGAAGGGCGUGCUAAUCUGCGAUAAGCGCCGGUAAGGUGAUAUGAACCGUUAUAACCGGCGAUACCCGAAUGGGGAAACCCAGUGUGAUUCGUCACACUAUCAUUAACUGAAUCCAUAGGUUAAUGAGGCGAACCGGGGGAACUGAAACAUCUAAGUACCCCGAGGAAAAGAAAUCAACCGAGAUUCCCCCAGUAGCGGCGAGCGAACGGGGAGGAGCCCAGAGCCUGAAUCAGCAUGUGUGUUAGUGGAAGCGUCUGGAAAGGCGCGCGAUACAGGGUGACAGCCCCGUACACAAAAGCGCAUGUGCUGUGAGCUCGAUGAGUAGGGCGGGACACGUGGUAUCCUGUCUGAAUAUGGGGGGACCAUCCUCCAAGGCUAAAUACUCCUGACUGACCGAUAGUGAACCAGUACCGUGAGGGAAAGGCGAAAAGAACCCCGGCGAGGGGAGUGAAAAAGAACCUGAAACCGUGUACGUACAAGCAGUGGGAGCACAGGUUUACCUGUGUGAC
rnacentral:rRNA from 1 species